rnacentral:lncRNA from 1 species
GUAACCAGGCCUUUGACUUUGCUCAUGUUAGGACGAGGUUCUCCUCUUGUUCCUAACAUGCUUAAUUUCGAUUGUAUGAGGGAGUUACUUCCUGUCGUUAUAAGCUCAUGCUAAAAGGAUAAAUAUGCAAAUAUAAAACUUUUAUUAAGGCAAAGCUAUUGGUAAUACAUUCGCAGAUUUUUCGAAUCCUAUAGCCGCGGAAGGUCUG